AACCGACGAUAGGUUAUUGUUGCAGUGCUCACACAGAUUGUCUGAUGAAAAUGAAGAAGAAGCAGCGCGUCUGCGAAGAAGACUGAUGUCCCCUUCGUCUAGAGGCCUAGGACACCGCCCUUUCACGGCGGUAACAGGGGUUCGAAUCCCCUAGGGGACGCCACGCUGCGGGGAACGGGUGAAAGGCGUAACCAACUGUAUUUUUAAGUGGGCUGGUGACAGCCGAUUUACAAAUCAUGCUCUUUAACAAUCUGGAACAAGCUGAAAAUUUGAAACACUCAGUGCUGUCAAGACAGUAUUGAGGCGUCUCUCAACCCGCACUCCGAAGACACCUUCGGGUUGUGA
rnacentral:misc_RNA from 1 species